rnacentral:rRNA from 1 species
GAGUUUGAUCGUGGCUCAGAUUGAACGCUGGCGGCAUGCCUUACACAUGCAAGUCGAACGGCAGCACGGGAGCUUGCUCCUGGUGGCGAGUGGCGAACGGGUGAGUAAUGCAUCGGAACGUAUCCUGGAGUGGGGGAUAACGUAGCGAAAGUUACGCUAAUACCGCAUAUUCUGUGAGCAGGAAAGCGGGAGACCUUCGGGCCUCGCGCUCUUGGAGCGGCCGAUGUCGGAUUAGCUAGUUGGUGAGGUAAAGGCUCACCAAGGCGACGAUCCGUAGCAGGUCUGAGAGGAUGAUCUGCCACACUGGAACUGAGACACGGUCCAGACUCCUACGGGAGGCAGCAGUGGGAAUUUUGGACAAUGGGGGCAACCCUGAUCCAGCCAUGCCGCGUGAGUGAAGAAGGCCU